GGGGAUUUAGUUUAGUGGCGUAAGCACCUGCCUUGCAAGCAGGUGGUCGUGAGUUCAAUCCCCU
rnacentral:tRNA from 1 species